rnacentral:rRNA from 1 species
AGAUUGAACGCUGGCGGCAUGCCUAACACAUGCAAGUCGAACGGGAGUAGCAAUACUCUAGUGGCGGACGGGUGAGGAAUACGUAGGAAUUUGCCCUUAAGUGGGGGAUAACCCGGGGAAACCCGGAUUAAUACCGCAUGACCUCGAAAGAGCAAAGUGGGGGAUCGCAAGACCUCACGCUUUUGGAGAAGCCUACGUCGGAUUAGCUAGUUGGUGAGGUAAUGGCUCACCAAGGCGACGAUCCGUAACUGGUCUGAGAGGAUGAUCAGUCACACCGGAACUGAGACACGGUCCGGACUCCUACGGGAGGCAGCAGUGGGGAAUAUUGGACAAUGGGCGCAAGCCUGAUCCAGCAAUGCCGCGUGUGUGAAGAAGGCCUUCGGGUUGUAAAGCACGUUUAAGUUAGGAAGAAAAACUACGCUCUAACACAAGUGAGUCUUGACGGUACCGACAGAAUAAGACACCGGCUAACUCUGUGCCAGCACGCCGC